UACGUAGGGGGCAAGCGUUAUCCGGAUUUACUGGGUGUAAGGGGAGCGUAGACGGCAGGGCAAGUCUGGAGUGAAAGGCAGGGGCCCAACCCCUGGACUGCUCUGGAAACUGUCCGGCUGGAGUGCAGGAGAGGUAAGUGGAAUUCCUAGUGUAGCGGUGAAAUGCGUAGAUAUUAGGAGGAACACCAGUGGCGAAGGCGGCUUACUGGACUGUAACUGACGUUGAGGCUCGAAAGCGUGGGGAGCAAACAGG
rnacentral:rRNA from 1 species